rnacentral:rRNA from 1 species
AACGAACGCUGGCGGCAUGCCUAACACAUGCAAGUCGAACGAGACCUUCGGGUCUAGUGGCGCACGGGUGCGUAACGCGUGGGAACCUGCCCUUAGGUUCGGAAUAACUCCCCGAAAGGGGUGCUAAUACCGGAUAAUGUCUUCGGACCAAAGAUUUAUCGCCUUUGGAUGGGCCCGCGUUGGAUUAGCUAGUUGGUAGGGUAAAAGCCUACCAAGGCGACGAUCCAUAGCUGGUCUGAGAGGAUGAUCAGCCACACUGGGACUGAGACACGGCCCAGACUCCUACGGGAGGCAGCAGUGGGGAAUAUUGGACAAUGGGCGAAAGCCUGAUCCAGCAAUGCCGCGUGAGUGAUGAAGGCCUUAGGGUUGUAAAGCUCUUUUACCCGGGAUGAUAAGGACAGUACCGGGAGAAUAAGCUCCGGCUAACUCCG